UACAGAGGGUGCAAGCGUUAAUCGGAAUUACUGGGCGUAAAGCGCGCGUAGGUGGUUCGUUAAGUUGGAUGUGAAAUCCCCGGGCUCAACCUGGGAACUGCAUUCAAAAACUGACGAGCUAGAGUAUGGUAGAGGGUGGUGGAAUUUCCUGUGUAGCGGUGAAAUGCGUAGAUAUAGGAAGGAACACCAGUGGCGAAGGCGACCACCUGGACUGAUACUGACACUGAGGUGCGAAAGCGUGGGGAGCAAACAGG
rnacentral:rRNA from 1 species